CGUGUCAAAAUAUUUUCAAAUUUUCACUUUUCAAAAAAAAAAUAAAAAAAGAAAAAGACCAGACGUUGUCAUUUUGACCUAUUUGUGUAUAUGUGUACUUUACCCAACUCCUAAUCUGUGUCUUCUCUCUAGAACACCCCACUCGGCACUCACGUCUCUCUCUCUCUCUCUCUCUACAUUCACUUUGUAUUCCACAUUACGCCUUUCUUUCUCUCUACCAUUACUCCUUCCUCAUACUCCACAGGAUACCUCCCUCUCUCCAAUCACUCUUCCCCCAAUCUCAACAGAUUGUCUAGGAUAAACUUUAGGGGAUGAAGCUUGGGAGAAAUUACAAUUAAAGUUCUCUAAGUUUCUUUCAUACAGCCUAUUAGCAGGUUCUGACUGUUGCUUCUUUCGUGCUGCUGCAGUGACUUGUGCUAUUUGGUAUCUUCGCUGGUUUUGUGGAAUGUCGCUGCUACAAUGCUCUAUGUUUCUGCUUUCUGAGCAGGAGAUUGCUAUGAUAUUGCAGAUUUAUUUUGGUUUGUACUCUAGGUGUAGGCGUUUUGUUUUUUUAGCUUUGAUGGUUCAUUUUGUUUAGCCUUGGGCCUUGGUUGUUGCUUUCACAUGGUAUGCCCUUGUCUUUCUAUUGGACUCUAUCUAUAAAUUUUUAAGGAAAAUAUUAGUUUAACAAUUUAUUAUUAUUAAUGCUGUA